GACGAACGCUGGCGGCGUGCCUAAUACAUGCAAGUUGAGCGAUGAAGAUUGGUGCUUGCACCAAUUUGAAGAGCAGCGAACGGGUGAGUAACGCGUGGGGAAUCUGCCUUUGAGCGGGGGACAACAUUUGGAAACGAAUGCUAAUACCGCAUAACAACUUUAAACAUAAGUUUUAAGUUUGAAAGAUGCAAUUGCAUCACUCAAAGAUGAUCCCGCGUUGUAUUAGCUAGUUGGUGAGGUAAAGGCUCACCAAGGCGAUGAUACAUAGCCGACCUGAGAGGGUGAUCGGCCACAUUGGGACUGAGACACGGCCCAAACUCCUACGGGAGGCAGCAGUAGGGAAUCUUCGGCAAUGGACGAAAGUCUGACCGAGCAACGCCGCGUGAGUGAAGAAGGGUUUCGGAUCGGAAAACUCUGUUGGUAGAGAAGAACGUUGGUGAGAGUGGAAAGCUCAUCAAGUGACGGUAACUACCCAGAAAGGGACGGCUAACUACGUG
rnacentral:rRNA from 1 species